rnacentral:rRNA from 1 species
GUUGUAUGGUUAAGUGACUAAGCGUACAUGGUGGAUGCCUUGGCAGUCAGAGGCGAUGAAGGACGUACUAACCUGCGAUAAGCUGUGAGAAGUCGGUAAGAGACGCUAUUACUCACAGAUUUCCGAAUGGGGAAACCCACCCAAGAUAACUUGGGUAUCUAUUACUGAAUACAUAGGUAACAGAGGCGAACCGGGAGAACUGAAACAUCUAAGUACCCCGAGGAAAAGAAAUCAACCGAGAUUCCCUCAGUAGCGGCGAGCGAACGGGGAUUAGCCCUUAAGCAUCUUGGAAGUUAGUGGAACGGUCCUGGAAAGGCCGGCGAUACAGGGUGAUAGCCCCGUACACGAAAACAACCUUGAUGUGAAAUCGAGUAGGGCGGGACACGUGACAUCCUGUCUGAAUAUGGGGGGACCAUCCUCCAAGGCUAAAUACUCCUGACUGACCGAUAGUGAACCAGUACCGUGAGGGAAAGGCGAAAAGAACCCCUGUGAGGGGAGUGAAAUUGAACCUGAAACCGUGUACGUACAAGCAGUGGGAGCCCUUCGGGGUGACUGCGUACCUUUUGUAUAAUGGGUCAGCGACUUACAUUUUGUAGCGAGGUUAACCGUAUAGGGGAGCCGUAGGGAAACCGAGUCUUAACUGGGCGUCUAGUUGCAAGGUGUAGACCCGAAACCGGGUGAUCUAGCCAUGGGCAGGUUGAAGGUUGAGUAACAUCAACUGGAGGACCGAACCCACUAACGUUGCAAAGUUAGGGGAUGACCUGUGGCUGGGGGUGAAAGGCCAAUCAAACUCGGAGAUAGCUGGUUCUCCCCGAAAGCUAUUUAGGUAGCGCCUCGGACGAAUACUACUGGGGGUAGAGCACUGUUUGGGCUAGGGGGUCAUCCCGACUUACCAACCCCAUGCAAACUCCGAAUACCAGUAAGUAAUAUCCGGGAGACACACGGCGGGUGCUAACGUCCGUCGUGAAGAGGGAAACAACCCAGACCGCCGGCUAAGGUCCCAAAGUUCUGGUUAAGUGGGAAACGAUGUGGGAAGGCUCAGACAGCUAGGAUGUUGGCUUAGAAGCAGCCAUCAUUUAAAGAAAGCGUAAUAGCUAACUAGUCGAGUCGGCCUGCGCGGAAGAUGUAACGGGGCUCAAACCAGGCACCGAAGCCGCGGAUUCAUACUUAUGUAUGAGUGGUAGGGGAGCGUUCUGUAAGUCUGCGAAGGUGUAUCGAGAGGUAUGCUGGAGAUAUCAGAAGUGCGAAUGCUGACGUAAGUAACGAUAAAGGGGGUGAAAAGCCUCCUCGCCGGAAGACCAAGGGUUCCUGUCCAACGUUAAUCGGGGCAGGGUGAGUCGACCCCUAAGGCGAGGCCGAAAGGCGUAGUCGAUGGGAAGCAGGUUAAUAUUCCUGCACGACUUGUAAUUGCGAUGGGGGGACGGAGAAGGCUAGGUGGGCCAGGCGACGGUUGUCCUGGUGAAAGUGCGUAGGUGGUGUUUCUAGGCAAAUCCGGAGACACAACACUGAGACACGAGACGAACACACUACGGUGUGGAAGCCAUUGAUGCCCUGCUUCCAGGAAAAGCCUCUAAGCUUCAGAUUACAAGUCAUCGUACCCCAAACCGACACAGGUGGUCGGGUAGAGAAUACCAAGGCGCUUGAGAGAACUCGGGUGAAGGAACUAGGCAAAAUAGAACCGUAACUUCGGGAGAAGGUUCGCUCUUGACAGUGAAGUCCCUUGCGGAUGGAGCAGUUGGGAGUCGCAGUGACCAGAUGGCUGGGACUGUUUAUCAAAAACACAGCACUCUGCAAACACGAAAGUGGACGUAUAGGGUGUGACACCUGCCCGGUGCCGGAAGGUUAAUUGAUGGGGUUAGCGCAAGCGAAGCUCUUAUCGAAGCCCCGGUAACGGCGGCCGUAACUAUAACGGUCCUAAGGUAGCGAAAUUCCUUGUCGGGUAAGUUCCGACCUGCACGAAUGGUGUAACCAUGGCCAUGCUGUCUCCACCCGAGACUCAGUGAAAUCGAAUUCGCCGUGAAGAUGCGGUGUACCCGCGGCUAGACGGAAAGACCCCGUGAACCUUUACUACAGCUUGGCACUGAACAUUGAACCUACAUGUGUAGGAUAGGUGGGAGGCUUUGAAGGCGUGACGCCAGUUGCGCUGGAGCCGUCCUUGAAAUACCACCCUUGUAUGUUUGAUGUUCUAACGCAGGGCCCUGAAUCGGGCUCGCGGACAGUGCCUGGUGGGUAGUUUGACUGGGGCGGUCUCCUCCCAAAGAGUAACGGAGGAGCACGAAGGUUGGCUAAUCCUGGUCGGACAUCAGGAGGUUAGUGCAAUGGCAUAAGCCAGCUUAACUGCGAGACGGACAGGUCGAGCAGGUACGAAAGUAGGUCAUAGUGAUCCGGUGGUUCUGAAUGGAAGGGCCAUCGCUCAACGGAUAAAAGGUACUCCGGGGAUAACAGGCUGAUUCGCCCAAGAGUUCAUAUCGACGGCGGUGUUUGGCACCUCGAUGUCGGCUCAUCACAUCCUGGGGCUGAAGUCGGUCCCAAGGGUAUGGCUGUUCGCCAUUUAAAGUGGUACGCGAGCUGGGUUCAGAACGUCGUGAGACAGUUCGGUCCCUAUCUGCCGUGGGCGUUGGAUGAUUGAAGGGAGUUGCUCCUAGUACGAGAGGACCGGAGUGAACGAACCUCUGGUGUUCGGGUUGUCACGCCAGUGGCACUGCCCGGUAGCUAAGUUCGGAAUCGAUAACCGCUGAAAGCAUCUAGCCGUGAA